rnacentral:piRNA from 1 species
UAUACUUAUUGCCACACAAACACUCUCCUU